UCCGCCGUGCGCUGCUGGUUGCGCACCCGAGCUUUGAACUCGGACGGCGCAGGUUCGAGCCCUGCCGGCGGAG
rnacentral:tRNA from 1 species